rnacentral:rRNA from 1 species
UACGGAGGGAGCUAGCGUUGUUCGGAAUUACUGGGCGUAAAGCGCGCGUAGGCGGCUUUGUAAGUUAGAGGUGAAAGCCCGGGGCUCAACCCCGGAACUGCCUUUAAGACUGCAUCGCUUGAAUCCGGGAGAGGUGAGUGGAAUUCCGAGUGUAGAGGUGAAAUUCGUAGAUAUUCGGAAGAACACCAGUGGCGAAGGCGACUCACUGGACAUGUAUUGACGCUGAGGUGCGAAAGCGUGGGGAGCAAACAGG